rnacentral:rRNA from 1 species
CCUACGGUGGGCAGCAGUGAGGAAUAUUGGUCAAUGGGCGUAAGCCUGAACCAGCCAAGUCGCGUGAGGGAUGAAGGUUCUAUGGAUCGUAAACCUCUUUUAUAAGGGAAUAAAGUGUGGGACGUGUCCUAUUUUGUAUGUACCUUAUGAAUAGGGAUCGGCUAACUCAGUGCCAGCAGCGGCGGUAAUACGGGGGCUCCGAGCGUUAUCCGGAUUUAUUGGGUUUAAAGGGUGCGUAGGCGGUCUGUUACGUAAGCGGGUAAAGUCUGGGGCUCAGCCAUAGAAUUGCCGUUGAAACUGGGGGGCUUGAGUAUGUUUGAGGCAGGCGGAAUGCGUGUUGUAGCGGUGAAAUGCUUAGAUAUCACGCAGAACCCCGAUUGCGAAGGCAGCCUGCCAAGCCAUGACUGACGCUGAUGCACGAAAGCGUGGGGAUCAAACAGGAUUAGAUACCCCAGUAGUC